CUCCAGCCUGGGCGACAGAGUGAGAUUCCAUCUCAGAAAGAACAAAAACCCUCUCUUUCCUUGACCUUUUCUGGGCUGUGUUGGCAAACAGCUCUAGCAAACUCCCUAACCAGCUCAGGGUCUGAGCUGGACACGUGCGGGCUAGAUCAGUGAAGCCUCAGUUUUGUUUUUUUUUGAUAUGCUAUGCCCUGGCUUUUUGGCUGCUAGCUCAGACUCCCUUCAGUGCUGUCAUCAUUAACUCCUGUAAGAACUCCGCAGGAUGGAUGGGCAUCAAAGCCCCUGCUUCUGCUCAACCAGGGGCAGUGUCUGCUGAAGUCUUGAGAUGGAGAGAGGAAAAAUGUCCCAUAAAGAUUGCCACAAGGUGGCACUAAAAUCUAAUGAAAAUUCGAAUGCUGGCCCGGUCUUUG
rnacentral:lncRNA from 1 species